AGGUGACCUGCGGAGGAUCAUUAAUGAUUGACCGUCUGUCGAGCUUGCUCACAGGCACAUCAUAUCCAUAACACCUGUGCACUUGUCGGAUGGCUUAGUGAAGACCGCAAGGUUGGAUCUAUCCAUCUACUUUACAUAACAAUUCUGUAACAAAUGUAGUCUUAUUAUAACAUAAUAAAACUUUCAACAACGGAUCUCUUGGCUCUCGCAUCGAUGAAGAACGCAGCGAAAUGCGAUAAGUAAUGUGAAUUGCAGAAUACGUGAAUCAUCAAAUCUUCGAACGCAUAUUGCACUUUUCUAGUUUACUAGAAAAGUAUGUCUGUUUGAGUAUCAGUAAAAUAUUCUCAUAAAAACAUUGUUUUUAUGGUUAUGAGUGUUUUACAACGAUAAACAAGUUGUUUCACUUUAAAUUGAUUUUUAAAAGCCAAUUUUUGGUUUUAUCUAAUUAAAAUUGGAUAAAAUUUUCCCGUAAAAAGGAAUAACUUUUCAGUUUUAAUAGUUAAAACUUAAUUGUGCCUAAUUUAAAAGGAAAUUUAACAAAAUAACUUGAUCUCAAAUCAGAUAAGAGUACCCGCUGAACUUAAGCAUAUCAAUAAGCGGAGGA
rnacentral:rRNA from 1 species